rnacentral:rRNA from 1 species
AACGAACGCUGGCGGCAUGCCUAACACAUGCAAGUCGAACGAGACCUUCGGGUCUAGUGGCGCACGGGUGCGUAACGCGUGGGAACCUGCCCUUAGGUUCGGAAUAACUCCCCGAAAGGGGUGCUAAUACCGGAUAAUGUCUUCGGACCAAAGAUUUAUCGCCUUUAGAUGGGCCCGCGUUGCAUUAGCUAGUUGGUAGGGUAAAAGCCUACCAAGGCGACGAUCCAUAGCUGGUCUGAGAGGAUGAUCAGCCACACUGGGACUGAGACACGGCCCAGACUCCUACGGGAGGCAGCAGUGGGGAAUAUUGGACAAUGGGCGAAAGCCUGAUCCAGCAAUGCCGCGUGAGUGAUGAAGGCCUUAGGGUUGUAAAGCUCUUUUACCCGGGAUGAUAAUGACAGUACCGGGAGAAUAAGCUCCGGCUAACUCCGUG